CAAGAGCUCCGGCGGGAGCCGCGAUUCUUGCUUUCAGUUUAUCGUGGCGCCGCUUCCGAAUAUUCUCGCUCCGGCAAGAACACGGUUCGAUCGCGUCCAGCUCGAUCCUCAUCGAAAAUCGUCGUAAAUCUCGAAUGACACGUGCACAAAGUUUCUUUCCCGGAAAUCUCCAAACCUAACGCAAUACAAGAAAGAAACAAGACAAUUGUUUAAGAAAAAUUAACCCAAUAAUCGUGGUGACUUUUCGAUGUUUUCGAUUAAUUCAACAAACCAGCAACACAUUAGUGGAAUAAUGUGCUCGGCGCUCCGCUGCUCAAUAUUUUUCGGGGAGUGACCAGAGGUUUUCGGUGUUAGAGGAAGCAAAUAUUUAGUCAAGAUAACGCGUAGCUCGCGGAGACACUUUGAAAGCUUCGUCGACAGCGAACCACGUCUGAACGGUGUGUGUGUGGCCGCGCGUAACGCGUGAGAAACGUCCGUGCCACGGGAAAUACCUGUGCAACAGAUAUUUGAGCAGCCCCGGGCGUUUAUAAGUACUUGAUGUCAGCAAUUUCGCUUGUCUCCCUUUGCCGGUCCGCAUCUGGGCGGAAAAGUUUCACUUGCCCUAUGUCAUGCUCCCUAUGAAAGUAUCGCGCGCGUACAGGAAAACGAGCUGACAAGGCCUAACCUAUUUUCGUUGUUUCGCCGUCGGAGAUACGUUUGUUUCCGGAGCACGUUGUUUACGGGUUUCAGUAAAAUUUGUACAAAAUUUUCACACCGGCCGACCGGGUCGAAUAAACAAGGAAAUUGUUUAUGUCGAAAUUGUUUCGACGUCGAUGACAGGGUGCACCUGCACUAGAUGCUGGUCUACGGUGUUCAGUCCUGCCACUGACAGCUCGGGCCGUGCGUGACAUAGGCCGCCCGAGGGAAAAAGGAAUAAAAAUUACCGGUCCCAUCCCUUCCAUUGAUGGGAACAAUUCGGCGACCAUUGCGCCAGUUCGUCAGCUCGAUUCAAGGUGCCCUGAAUUCGAUUAAUUCGGAGCGAUCGCGAGAGUCUGCAAUUACAUUCUCGGUUAAUUACGGUUCGAUCGUCGAUACUUUCGAGUGACGUGUGCCGCCGUGCUUAAUCACGUUCGCUAAUUUUGCGCCCCGAGUUAACAAAGGGGCUGGCCUCUCUGCCUGUUCGCCGACACUUCAUGCAUGUCCUGCCGCACGUUACACGCGGAUCAAUCUCGGCCAGCUGAACGAUCGAUCCUCCGUGAGUUGCAGAAAGUGUUGGCCACCUUAUCGAAUGCGGGCUUUGAUUUUUAUGCACGCUCCCAGCCGAGGUUCUUUCGCCCGUGAAGAAGGAUUGGUCUAGGGGAUCGAAUGGAAUAAUAAAGUAACGAGAGGAAAAAGUUCCAGGGCGAGACCAAUUACUUGUUGAUCUUCCUCUAUGUGCCCGUGAUGGUCGUCGCUGUCACGGCCAAUGUCCUCGUCAUCGCGGUCGUUUUCAAGUACCACUACAUGCGCAGCGUCACCAAUUACUUCGUGGUGAACCUGUCCGUAGCAGAUCUCCUGGUGACCACGAUUUGCAUGCCUGUUGCCGUGAGUCAGGCAGUCUCGAUUGUUUGGAUCCAUGGAGAAGUGAUGUGCAAAUUGUCCUCUUAUCUUCAGGGGGUUGCUGUCGCCGCCUCGGUUUUCACCAUUACCGCGAUGAGCAUCGACAGGUACCUGGCGAUAAGGAGUCCUAUAGCGUUCCGACAGGUAUUCAAUCGCAGGAGCACCGUUCUCGUUAUCGUGGCCGUUUGGCUGGUCGCUUUAAUCAUCUUUGUGCCGGUCUUGAGGGUGAUGACCUUACACAGCCCCAGCACAGAAUACGGCAACAUAACUUUCCGCGGGUCUUGGACAUUGACGAGGAAUUUGUCGCAGAACUCGUCGCGUGUUUCGAAUUUACCACCUGCUUACUACAUUUGUUCGGAAGACUUCAAGCCUCUCGGCAUUCGGCCACACCUUUUCGGAGCUGUCUGUUUCGUGCUGGUAUACGCCAUUCCUGGUUUCGUCGUGAUCUUGUUUUACUCCAUGAUGGGCCGAACGCUGUGCUCCCGAAAACCCCCAUUCGAUUGCGACAGCGUUAAAGGAAAUGCUAGUUCGCAACAGACGUUCCGACUGGUACGUGAGAGAAGGCGAAUUGCUUGGAUAUUGCUCCUUCUGGCGGUGCUGUUCGCGUUGUGCUGGCUGCCGUACAACGUCCUAAUGCUUCUGAUCGACCUGGGUGUAGUCGGGGAAGGAAAAGCGACCAGAGACGCCCGUUCCUAUUGCCUGUUCCUGGGACACGCGAAUAGCGCCCUGAACCCGGUGGUCUAUUGCUUCAUGACUCGCACGUUCCGGCGCAGUGUCGCUGAGAUCCUCCGCUGCGGUCCUCACGGGCUGGCGCACCGGAAACCACGUCGCAGAAGUGCUCAAGGAACCGCGGUGAUCGAUGACGUGUGCGCAGGAUGCAGUACUGGCGGCGGUUCAAUGAAACGAGGGUUGUUGCGCAAACGAAGAAUGCUGGCCGGAUGCGGAUGCGGCUUGCCGAUAGGUGGUCACCACGCGGUUGUAGCCCUCCGACGCACAGUCACAUUGAGCAGCGGCUAUGACAGCUUCUACAGCAAGCAUAGUCCUCAUAAACUUUGCUACAUGCUGCGCAGCCUUCGAGGAAAACCCCAAAUGGCGAUCGAGCCAGCCGCCAAUGCGGAUAGGCACAAGGAGACUUGUUACGAGAGGAACGACCCAGAGGCCAGUCAACCGCAAACCAACACUGUCGUUACCACUGAUGAGCAACGCUGUUAAACAGCUCGAUCUGCUGAUCAGUAAUGAUCGAUCUUCUUACAAUUAGAGACAUUGUGAUUUAGAUGUUACGUGUGCGAACAUGCUCGAUAUAUAUGCGAAUUAAGGAUGAAGACAGUCCACGAGCAACAGGGUAUGGAGAUUCAAGGAUGAUACCAAUGAAUGAUUUACCUGUCAGUCGACUGUCUGAACACUUGUUGCAUAUUGCGAACCAUUUGUAGUGAAGAGAUUUAAUGGAGAGAGUGGUAUUCGUGGUUUUCUUUUAAUUUUUUUAAUGGAUCGACUCAGACUGGUUUGUGAAGAGCUGAAAGCUUGUAAGCUUGUUUAUUGUAAGUAAUCUGAACGGGGUUAGAGGAACCGUUUGUUUAGGUGAUUCUAACAGGGCGACGCCAGUCUAAACUCGAAAUAGAAUAUUUGAAACUCAAGAUUACAGUAUGAAGUGUCUGCAUCCAUUGUGGUGAAUAAAUAAAGGACCCUCUUAAUGAAUUAAUAUUUCAAAUAUAUGGAUAAGGACAGGGUUAACUGGACUAACAAUAUAAAAGACACGUCGGGCAAUAGAUCCCUCAAUGAUCGCCUCGGCCCGCUCGGUGUUUUCUCUAGCAAAUUCGUGCCGUAACCGACGCAGACUGACAUCAAAUCUGGAAGAAAAAAGUCGCCGAGGAGGAUCGAACGAUUGAUGUCUUCCUUUUGUGUCCUCGGACGUAUCACUGCGGGGAAUUACCUUCCUUGCUGGGCGUUGGGAGAGUGGCCAUUAUUCUUUCAACCUGGUUGAUUGUCGAUGAACCAGGGAACAGCGGCUUCCCCAGGAGCAUUUCACCAAGAAUACAUCCUAAGGACCACAUGUCGAUACCCUUGGUGUACCUAAACGUCGCCAGUGGCCAGACUAUUAUCAAACUCUGUUUGAAAUCCAACCAUAUUCGAAAAACGACAGGAAUACCUUUUAGACGCGACAAGUAUUUCCGGCGCUCGGUACCAGCGGGUCGCGACGUAAUCCGUAAGGAUUGGAUCGCUGCCAUUUUCGCCGUCACCUUCGCCGAUCUGAGUGACCGAUCGCGCUAAACCAAAGUCGGCGAUUUUACAGUGACACUGCGAGUUCAGUAGAACGUUCGACGGCUGAAGGAUUCAUGAUAAAACAAGAUCGUCACCAAGAAGUUGUAAUUCUUAGCUGGGAAAAGAAGAAGAAGGAGACUUGAGUUUACCUUGAGAUCCCUAUGUAUCACGUUCCCCGAAUGUAUGUACUUGAUCGCCCUAAAUAGCUGAUACAUGAUGAAGACCUUGUGGAUGUCCUUGAGGAGAUUGCCCUUUUUGAUGACGUUGUGGAGAUCGAUUUCUGGGGAAACGGGCCGAAACGUGUUUCAGGCCAAAUGUCUGAGAAUCGCCGCGGCACGUGACCUUCGUGAACUCUCCUUUGAACCGGGUAAAACUCACCCAUAAACUCGAACACGAGAUAUAUAUCCCGGUCGUUGUCCGCCUUGUGCAGACCGAUCAGUCGUAUGAUGUUCUCGUGAUUGGCGAACGACAGUAGGAACAUUAUCUCGCGGAACGUGCGCUGCGCGUCCGUCUGGUUCUGGAAAGCGUCGAAGAUCUUCUUCACCGCGACCGUCUCCUUCGUUUUUCUGUCAAUCGCCUUCCAAACUAUACCAUAGGCCUGUCGAGCAAGUGGUGUGUCAAUGA